CUUUUAUGGAGAGUUUGAUCCUGGCUCAGGACGAACGCUGGCGGCGUGCCUAAUACAUGCAAGUCGAGCGGAGCUGAUGAGGUGCUUGCACCUCUGAUGCUUAGCGGCGGACGGGUGAGUAACACGUAGGCAACCUGCCUGCAGGACUGGGAUAACAUUCGGAAACGAAUGCUAAUACCGGAUAAUCGAUUUCCUCGCAUGAGGAGAUCGGGAAAGACGGAGCAAUCUGUCACCUGUGGAUGG
rnacentral:rRNA from 1 species